UGAACGCUGGCGGCGUGCUUAACACAUGCAAGUCGAACGGAAAGGCCCAAGCUUGCUUGGGUACUCGAGUGGCGAACGGGUGAGUAACACGUGGGUGAUCUGCCCUGCACUUCGGGAUAAGCCUGGGAAACUGGGUCUAAUACCGGAUAGGACCACAUUUUGGAUGGUGUGGUGGAAAGUUUUUCGGUGUGGGAUGAGCUCGCGGCCUAUCAGCUUGUUGGUGGGGUAAUGGCCUACCAAGGCGUCGACGGGUAGCCGGCCUGAGAGGGUGUACGGCCACAUUGGGACUGAGAUACGGCCCAGACUCCUACGGGAGGCAGCAGUGGGGAAUAUUGCACAAUGGGCGCAAGCCUGAUGCAGCGACGCCGCGUGGGGGAUGACGGCCUUCGGGUUGUAAACUCCUUUCGCUAGGGACGAAGCGUUAUGUGACGGUACCUGGAGAAGAAGCACCGGCUAACUAC
rnacentral:rRNA from 1 species